UGAAAAGGCCAGCAGCCUCCACAGGACCA
rnacentral:piRNA from 1 species